rnacentral:rRNA from 1 species
GACGAACGCUGGCGGCGUGCUUAACACAUGCAAGUCGAACGGAAAGGCCCUGCUUUUGUGGGGUGCUCGAGUGGCGAACGGGUGAGUAACACGUGAGUAACCUGCCCUUGACUUUGGGAUAACUUCAGGAAACUGGGGCUAAUACCGGAUAGGAGCUCCUGCUGCAUGGUGGGGGUUGGAAAGUUUCGGCGGUUGGGGAUGGACUCGCGGCUUAUCAGCUUGUUGGUGGGGUAGUGGCUUACCAAGGCUUUGACGGGUAGCCGGCCUGAGAGGGUGACCGGCCACAUUGGGACUGAGAUACGGCCCAGACUCCUACGGGAGGCAGCAGUGGGGAAUAUUGCACAAUGGGCGGAAGCCGGAGGCAGCAACGCCGCGUGCGGGAUGACGGCCCUCGGGUUGUAAACCGCUUUCGCCUGUGACGAAGCGUGAGUGACGGUAAUGGGUAAAGAAGCACCGGCUAACUACGU